UCGAUGAGUAGGGCGGGACACGUGGUAUCCUGUCUGAAUAUGGGGGGACCAUCCUCCAAGGCUAAAUACUCCUGACUGACCGAUAGUGAACCAGUACCGUGAGGGAAAGGCGAAAAGAACCCCGGCGAGGGGAGUGAAAAAGAACCUGAAACCGUGUACGUACAAGCAGUGGGAGCACCCUUUGGGGUGUGACUGCGUACCUUUUGUAUAAUGGGUCAGCGACUUAUAUUCUGUAGCAAGGUUAACCGAAUAGGGGAGCCGGAGGGAAACCGAGUCUUAAUUGGGCGUUAAGUUGCAGGGUAUAGACCCGAAACCCGGUGAUCUAGCCAUGGGCAGGUUGAAGGUUGGGUAACACUAACUGGAGGACCGAACCGACUAAUGUUGAAAAAUUAGCGGAUGACCUGUGGCUGGGGGUGAAAGGCCAAUCAAACCGGGAGAUAGCUGGUUCUCCCCGAAAGCUAUUUAGGUAGCGCCUCGUGAAUUCAUCUCCGGGGGUAGAGCACUGUUUCGGCUAGGGGGCCAUCCCGGCUUACCAACCCGAUGCAAACUGCGAAUACCGGAGAAUGUUAUCACGGGAGACACACGGCGGGUGCUAACGUCCGUCGUGAAGAGGGAAACAACCCAGACCGCCAGCUAAGGUCCCAAAGUCAUGGUUAAGUGGGAAACGAUGUGGGAAGGCCCAGACAGCCAGGAUGUUGGCUUAGAAGCAGCCAUCAUUUAAAGAAAGCGUAAUAGCUCACUGGUCGAGUCGGCCUGCGCGGAAGAUGUAACGGGGCUAAACCAUGCACCGAAGCUGCGGCAGCGACGUUUAUGCGUUGUUGGGUAGGGGAGCGUUCUGUAAGCCUGCGAAGGUGGCCUGUGAGGGUUGCUGGAGGUAUCAGAAGUGCGAAUGCUGACAUAAGUAACGAUAAAGCGGGUGAAAAGCCCGCUCGCCGGAAGACCAAGGGUUCCUGUCCAACGUUAAUCGGGGCAGGG
rnacentral:rRNA from 1 species